UAAGAGAUACAUAUCACAUAUACAUACAUACACAUCAGCCUUCUUCCUCCUCUAUCUCGCAUAAAACCAAACCACCACCGUGAACCUACCUAGACCACACAUCGCCAACCAUGUUUCGAGUCCGCCGCAAACCGACUUGAUUGCGCCACCCUAUACCACUGAGGGCUCGACGGGGCUUGAACGCUGCCAUGUCUUCAACCGUCACACACACACACCAAUACCGCCACUUUGAACCGCCAUACGGACCACCGUAGCGACUUACGUCUUCCGGCAUCACAACGCUCGUUGUUUCGAUCUAUGAGGUUGGCAUAAUUAUUGAGGAUGACUCGAUUUGGAUUUGUGCUUUGCUUGCUAAGACAAGGUAAUCAGGGAUAAUAUGGGGAAUCAAAAAUGAGAGGUUAAUGGAUGUUCAAGAGUAUCUAAAGACUCUUUAUUUUGUUAAAUCAUGUACUUUUAAAUGAACUUAAGACUUAGGGUAUGUUGAGACGUGUAUGUCACCUUGAAUCCUAUCUUAUAUUAAGUGGAUGUGUUUUGAUUAUGA